AAAUGUUGUCUCUCUUGAGUGGAUCCUGAGUACGACGGAGCACGUGAAAUUCCGUCGGAAUCUGGGAGGACCAUCUCCUAAGGCUAAAUACUCUCUAGUGACCGAUAGCGAACCAGUACCGUGAGGGAAAGGUGAAAAGCACCCCGGAAGGGGAGUGAAAUAGAACCUGAAACCGUGUGCUUACAAGUAGUCAGAGCCCGUUAAUGGGUGAUGGCGUGCCUUUUGUAGAAUGAACCGGCGAGUUACGAUUUGAUGCAAGGUUAAGCAGUAAAUGUGGAGCCGUAGCGAAAGCGAGUCUGAAUAGGGCGUUUAGUAUUUGGUCGUAGACCCGAAACCAGGUGAUCUACCCUUGGUCAGGUUGAAGUUCAGGUAACACUGAAUGGAGGACCGAACCGACUUACGUUGAAAAGUGAGCGGAUGAACUGAGGGUAGCGGAGAAAUUCCAAUCGAACCUGGAGAUAGCUGGUUCUCUCCGAAAUAGCUUUAGGGCUAGCCUCAAGUGAUGAUUAUUGGAGGUAGAGCACUGUUUGGACGAGGGGCCCCUCUCGGGUUACCGAAUUCAGACAAACUCCGAAUGCCAAUUAAUUUAACUUGGGAGUCAGAACAUGGGUGAUAAGGUCCGUGUUCGAAAGGGAAACAGCCCAGACCACCAGCUAAGGUCCCAAAAUAUAUGUUAAGUGGAAAAGGAUGUGGCGUUGCCCAGACAACUAGGAUGUUGGCUUAGAAGCAGCCAUCAUUUAAAGAGUGCGUAAUAGCUCACUAGUCGAGUGACACUGCGCCGAAAAUGUACCGGGGCUAAACAUAUUACCGAAGCUGUGGAUUGUCCUUUGGACAAUGGUAGGAGAGCGUUCUAAGGGCGUUGAAGCAUGAUCGUAAGGACAUGUGGAGCGCUUAGAAGUGAGAAUGCCGGUGUGAGUAGCGAAAGACGGGUGAGAAUCCCGUCCACCGAUUGACUAAGGUUUCCAGAGGAAGGCUCGUCCGCUCUGGGUUAGUCGGGUCCUAAGCUGAGGCCGACAGGCGUAGGCGAUGGAUAACAGGUUGAUAUUCCUGUACCACCUAUAAUCGUUUUAAUCGAUGGGGGGACGCAGUAGGAUAGGCGAAGCGUGCGAUUGGAUUGCACGUCUAAGCAGUAAGGCUGAGUAUUAGGCAAAUCCGGUACUCAUUAAGGCUGAGCUGUGAUGGGGAGAAGACAUUGUGUCUUCGAGUCGUUGAUUUCACACUGCCGAGAAAAGCCUCUAGAUAGAAAAUAGGUGCCCGUACCGCAAACCGACACAGGUAGUCAAGAUGAGAAUUCUAAGGUGAGCGAGCGAACUCUCGUUAAGGAACUCGGCAAAAUGACCCCGUAACUUCGGGAGAAGGGGUGCUCUUUAGGGUUAACGCCCAGAAGAGCCGCAGUGAAUAGGCCCAAGCGACUGUUUAUCAAAAACACAGGUCUCUGCUAAACCGUAAGGUGAUGUAUAGGGGCUGACGCCUGCCCGGUGCUGGAAGGUUAAGAGGAGUGGUUAGCUUCUGCGAAGCUACGAAUCGAAGCCCCAGUAAACGGCGGCCGUAACUAUAACGGUCCUAAGGUAGCGAAAUUCCUUGUCGGGUAAGUUCCGACCCGCACGAAAGGCGUAACGAUUUGGGCACUGUCUCAACGAGAGACUCGGUGAAAUCAUAGUACCUGUGAAGAUGCAGGUUACCCGCGACAGGACGGAAAGACCCCGUGGAGCUUUACUGUAGCCUGAUAUUGAAAUUCGGCACAGCUUGUACAGGAUAGGUAGGAGCCUUUGAAACGUGAGCGCUAGCUUACGUGGAGGCGCUGGUGGGAUACUACCCUAGCUGUGUUGGCUUUCUAACCCGCACCACUUAUCGUGGUGGGAGACAGUGUCAGGCGGGCAGUUUGACUGGGGCGGUCGCCUCCUAAAAGGUAACGGAGGCGCUCAAAGGUUCCCUCAGAAUGGUUGGAAAUCAUUCAUAGAGUGUAAAGGCAUAAGGGAGCUUGACUGCGAGACCUACAAGUCGAGCAGGGUCGAAAGACGGACUUAGUGAUCCGGUGGUUCCGCAUGGAAGGGCCAUCGCUCAACGGAUAAAAGCUACCCCGGGGAUAACAGGCUUAUCUCCCCCAAGAGUUCACAUCGACGGGGAGGUUUGGCACCUCGAUGUCGGCUCAUCGCAUCCUGGGGCUGUAGUCGGUCCCAAGGGUUGGGCUGUUCGCCCAUUAAAGCGGUACGCGAGCUGGGUUCAGAACGUCGUGAGACAGUUCGGUCCCUAUCCGUCGUGGGCGUAGGAAAUUUGAGAGGAGCUGUCCUUAGUACGAGAGGACCGGGAUGGACAUACCUCUGGUGUACCAGUUGUCGUGCCAACGGCAUAGCUGGGUAGCUAUGUGUGGACGGGAUAAGUGCUGAAAGCAUCUAAGCAUGAAGCCCCCCUCAAGAUGAGAUUUCCCAACUUCGGUUAUAAGAUCCCUCAAAGAUGAUGAGGUUAAUAGGUUCGAGGUGGAAGCAUGGUGACAUGUGGAGCUGACGAAUACUAA
rnacentral:rRNA from 1 species